UGUCUGCUUGUCUUGUGUUCCCCAGUCUGGUUAUUGUUGUCAUAUGUGUUGUUACCUCUGCCCUUCCCCGUGUGUAAAGCACACCCUCCACCAACGUGAUAACUGACGGCACAGAAAUACGUGCCACUCUUCUGUGCUGCAGAACUCAAGAUUUGGUCCGAGUUUCUUUUUUCAAGGCCCUGAAAUCAUGGGUUUUUGUAGAACGUGUUUUUCGACGUUAUGAAACACAGAUGGUGGAACACAAACGCAUAUGUAGGAGAGAGCAAGCUUGGCAGCGAAGGGCGGCCACCUGCAGUGGUAUCCAUGCAGCUGGGAGUUAAGGGUCUUG